rnacentral:lncRNA from 1 species
CUUCCUGGUUCCUAAUUGAGGCUGCAAAGGAAUGGACUGGAGUCACCUCUUAGAAGGAUUCCUGGGAGGUGGUUUUUCAAAUGAUGGAGAAAAGAUAAAUCAAGGGUCCUGGAAAGACCUGGGAAGAGUUGGUGAUGUUGCCACUUCCCAGUUGAGAAGCUGCUCAGAGAGGAGAACGACAGAGCUGAGAGCCAUUUACAGUGGUUAUAGAUGACUCCACACACCAGAAAAGUGGCCAAUGGACAGAUGCUGAAGUUGAAGCUCCAAUAUUUUGACCACCUGAUGUGAAGAGCCGACUCACUGGAAAAGACCCUGAUGCUGUGAAAGACUGAGGGAAGGAGAAGAAGGGAGCGACAGAGGAUGAGAUGGUUGGAUGGCAUCACUGACUCAAUGGACAUGAGUUUGAGCAAACUCUGGGAGAUACUGAAGGACAGAGAAGCCUGGCAUGCUACAGUCCAUAGGGUUACAAAGAGCUGGACAUGACUUAGCGACUGAACAACAACAAUUUAGAUAAUGGUGAGACCAAUUUUUAAUGAGCAGAGAAAGACUGAGGCCAAAUAGAAGUGAUUAUGUUACACACAUAAUAGAUAUUUCUUCUUAAGAUAUAAUCAGUAUGUCUACAUGACUUUUAAGAAGGACUUUGGAAGGUCACAUACACACUGCUAUAUUUAAAAUGGAUAACUAACAAAAACCUAUGGUAUAGCACAUGGAACUCUGCUCAGUGUUAAGUGCCAGCCUGGAUGGGAGCGGGGUUGUGGGGAGAACGGAUCCAUGUACAUGUAUGUACGGCUGAGUCCCUUCACUGUUCACCUGAAACUGUCAGAACAUCGUUAAUCAGCUAUACCCCAAUGCAAAAUGUUUUUUUUGUUAAAAAAAAAAAAGGAAUCACACUGUAAAUACAGAUCAGAGGCCACCUUUACUCUAAUUAUCUACAGAAAAUACAGAUCUGAGAAAUGUUAAAAUACCCAAAAAUCCUAGUUUGGAAUUUUUAGUAUUGUCUUUUUCUUGAUGGCCUAUGCUUUAAAAUAAAU